rnacentral:rRNA from 1 species
AUUCGGAUUGGAGUCUGNAACCCGACUCCAUGAAGCUGGAUUCGCUAGUAAUCGCGCAUCAGCCACGGCGCGGUGAAUACGUUCCCGGGCCUUGUACACACCGCCCGUCAAGCCAUGGAAGCCGGGGGUGCCUGAAGUGCGCUGCCGCAAGGAGCGCCCUAGGGUAAAACCGGUGACUGGGGCUAAGUCGUAACAAGGUAUC